AAUCCAUAGGUUAAUGAGGCGAACCGGGGGAACUGAAACAUCUAAGUACCCCGAGGAAAAGAAAUCAACCGAGAUUCCCCCAGUAGCGGCGAGCGAACGGGGAGGAGCCCAGAGCCUGAAUCAGCAUGUGUGUUAGUGGAAGCGUCUGGAAAGGCGCGCGAUACAGGGUGACAGCCCCGUACACAAAAGCGCAUGUGCUGUGAGCUCGAUGAGUAGGGCGGGACACGUGGUAUCCUGUCUGAAUAUGGGGGGACCAUCCUCCAAGGCUAAAUACUCCUGACUGACCGAUAGUGAACCAGUACCGUGAGGGAAAGGCGAAAAGAACCCCGGCGAGGGGAGUGAAAAAGAACCUGAAACCGUGUACGUACAAGCAGUGGGAGCACCCUUUGGGGUGUGACUGCGUACCUUUUGUAUAAUGGGUCAGCGACUUAUAUUCUGUAGCAAGGUUAACCGUAUAGGGGAGCCGGAGGGAAACCGAGUCUUAACCGGGCGUUAAGUUGCAGGGUAUAGACCCGAAACCCGGUGAUCUAGCCAUGGGCAGGUUGAAGGUUGGGUAACACUAACUGGAGGACCGAACCGACUAAUGUUGAAAAAUUAGCGGAUGACCUGUGGCUGGGGGUGAAAGGCCAAUCAAACCGGGAGAUAGCUGGUUCUCCCCGAAAGCUAUUUAGGUAGCGCCUCGUGAAUUCAUCUCCGGGGGUAGAGCAC
rnacentral:rRNA from 1 species